rnacentral:rRNA from 1 species
CAUCUAAGUACCUGAACGAAAGUAAAUCAAAAGAGACUCCCCUAGUAGUGGCGAGCGAACGGGACGAGCCUAAACCUCUUCAGUGCAAGCAUGCUGGCGUUGCUGAAGUGGGGUCGUGGGAUUCUGUAGAGAGGUCGGCAUACCUCUCGUCGAGUUACAAAGACCGAGCUAGCCGAACGGUAUUGGACGGCCGGCCACAGCGGGUGAUAGCCCCGUAGGCGAAAGCGAGGUCUCUCGAUCAGAACACCCGAGUACCGCAGGACACGUGUAAUCCGGCGGGAAUCUGGGAGGACCAUCUUCCAAGGCUAAGUACUACUGAUCGACCGAUAGUGAACUAGUACCGCGAGGGAAAGGUGAAAAGAACCCCGGUUAGGGGAGUGAAAUAGUACCUGAAACCGUGUGCCUACAAGCAGUGGGAGCGCUAUGCCCGCAAGGGAAGGCGUCACCACGUACCUUUUGCAUAAUGGGCCUGCGAGUUACCGUGUGUGGCAAGGUUAAGCCGGAAGGUGUAGCCGAAGCGAAAGCGAGUCCUA